rnacentral:rRNA from 1 species
AUUGAACGCUGGCGGCAGGCCUAACACAUGCAAGUCGAGCGGAUGACGGGAGCUUGCUCCUGGAUUCAGCGGCGGACGGGUGAGUAAUGCCUAGGAAUCUGCCUGGUAGUGGGGGACAACGUUUCGAAAGGAACGCUAAUACCGCAUACGUCCUACGGGAGAAAGCAGGGGACCUUCGGGCCUUGCGCUAUCAGAUGAGCCUAGGUCGGAUUAGCUAGUUGGUGAGGUAAUGGCUCACCAAGGCGACGAUCCGUAACUGGUCUGAGAGGAUGAUCAGUCACACUGGAACUGAGACACGGUCCAGACUCCUACGGGAGGCAGCAGUGGGGAAUAUUGGACAAUGGGCGCAAGCCUGAUCCAGCCAUGCCGCGUGUGUGAAGAAGGCCUUCGGGUUGUAAAGCACUUUCAGUAGGGAGGAAGCGUUGUGUGUUAAUAGUACACAGCGUUGACGUUACCUACAGAAGAAGCACCGGCUAACUCUGUGCCAGCCGCCGCCGUAACAC